UGUCACAGCAAGGCUGGGCGUCGAGCGCUGGCUGCUACCUUCCGGAGCGACUCUCCAGACGCCGGCUAGCCCAGCUGUCGGUCCCCUGUCUGUAGACCUGGAAGGCAUUUUGCAGAGGAGGCAACUCCAGUUUGAAGAGGUGGCUGGCCUAUAGUCACUGAGUUGGCAGACAGGAGAGCCAGCACCAUGCUCAGGACCUGAAACAUCUGCAUUGCAAGAGCUGCAUGGGAGGCGAUGACAGGAGAGUCUCCUAAAACUCACAACCCAGCAAAAAGAAAGACUCGGGAUACCACUGCUUUCUCAUUGAUGAUCUGAAGAGAUUCCUGCAGGACUCUGGUACAGCUGCAGAGAAAUGUUUCCCUAUUGUGUUCCAGGCCACAGCACCACCCAAAUUAAAAAAAAAAAAAACUUUUUUGCAGUUAAGAAAAAGACAUAAUAAUGCCAUCUUCAGAGGUUAAGAGCACUGGCUGUUCUUCCAGAGGUUCUAAGUUCAAUUCCCCGCAUCCACAUGGUGGCUCCCAACCAUCUGCAAUGGGAUCUGACUCCUCCUUCUGGUGUGCGUGAAGACAGGGCACUCAUAUACAUAAAUCAGUCUUUACAAAAAUGAUUUCAUCUUCAGUGAGAUAUCAUCCUGCAUGCCCUUUCUUGGUAGAUUUAAAUGCUUAGGACAGAAAUGUUGUAAUGUGGUGAGCAGAGCUUGCCUUUUUUCCAAUAAACUGUGUGCAUGUAAACUGUACA